CAGCAAGCCAGGCAGCAUCAGGAGGUGGAGAAGACAACGUUUCGGAUGUAACCCAUCUUCAGGACUAUAUUGUUAAUCUUAGAAAUGAAUAGAAACAGAUGAAUAUAAACCAGCUCAAAGACUUUUUUUUCCUGUUGAAAAGACUGAAACUGCUGCAGAGGCACCUGACUCAGUAUCAUCACCGCUCCCACA